AGAGUUUGAUCAUGGCUCAGAUUGAACGCUGGCGGCAGGCCUAACACAUGCAAGUCGAACGGUAACAGGAAGCAGCUUGCUGCUUUGCUGACGAGUGGCGGACGGGUGAGUAAUGUCUGGGAAACUGCCUGAUGGAGGGGGAUAACUACUGGAAACGGUGGCUAAUACCGCAUAAUGUCGCAAGACCAAAGAGGGGGACCUUCGGGCCUCUUGCCAUCAGAUGUGCCCAGAUGGGAUUAGCUUGUUGGUGAGGUAACGGCUCACCAAGGCGACGAUCCCUAGCUGGUCUGAGAGGAUGACCAGCCACACUGGAACUGAGACACGGUCCAGACUCCUACGGGAGGCAGCAGUGGGGAAUAUUGCACAAUGGGCGCAAGCCUGAUGCAGCCAUGCCGCGUGUAUGAAGAAGGCCUUCGGGUUGUAAAGUACUUUCAGCGGGGAGGAAGGUGUUGUGGUUAAUAACCGCAGCAAUUGACGUUACCCGCAGAAGAAGCACCGGCUAACUCCGUGCCAGCAGCCGCGGUAAUACGGAGGGUGCAAGCGUUAAUCGGAAUUACUGGGCGUAAAGCGCACGCAGGCGGUCUGUCAAGUCGGAUGUGAAAUCCCCGGGCUCAACCUGGGAACUGCAUUCGAAACUGGCAGGCUUGAGUCUUGUAGAGGGGGGUAGAAUUCCAGGUGUAGCGGUGAAAUGCGUAGAGAUCUGGAGGAAUACCGGUGGCGAAGGCGGCCCCCUGGACAAAGACUGACGCUCAGGUGCGAAAGCGUGGGGAGCAAACAGGAUUAGAUACCCUGGUAGUCCACGCCGUAAACGAUGUCUACUUGGAGGUUGUGCCCUUGAGGCGUGGCUUCCGGAGCUAACGCGUUAAGUAGACCGCCUGGGGAGUACGGCCGCAAGGUUAAAACUCAAAUGAAUUGACGGGGGCCCGCACAAGCGGUGGAGCAUGUGGUUUAAUUCGAUGCAACGCGAAGAACCUUACCUGGUCUUGACAUCCACGGAAGUUUUCAGAGAUGAGAAUGUGCCUUCGGGAACCGUGAGACAGGUGCUGCAUGGCUGUCGUCAGCUCGUGUUGUGAAAUGUUGGGUUAAGUCCCGCAACGAGCGCAACCCUUAUCCUUUGUUGCCAGCGGUCCGGCCGGGAACUCAAAGGAGACUGCCAGUGAUAAACUGGAGGAAGGUGGGGAUGACGUCAAGUCAUCAUGGCCCUUACGACCAGGGCUACACACGUGCUACAAUGGCGCAUACAAAGAGAAGCGACCUCGCGAGAGCAAGCGGACCUCAUAAAGUGCGUCGUAGUCCGGAUUGGAGUCUGCAACUCGACUCCAUGAAGUCGGAAUCGCUAGUAAUCGUGGAUCAGAAUGCCACGGUGAAUACGUUCCCGGGCCUUGUACACACCGCCCGUCACACCAUGGGAGUGGGUUGCAAAAGAAGUAGGUAGCUUAACCUUCGGGAGGGCGCUUACCACUUUGUGAUUCAUGACUGGGGUGAAGUCGUAACAAGGUAACCGUAGGGGAACCUGCGGUUGGAUCACCU
rnacentral:rRNA from 1 species